AUAUUUUGUAUUUGGAGUUUUUUAUCCAAUCAUAUCUCAGCCUCGUGUUGCCAGGGUCAACUAAAUCUGCCCUAAGGCCUUCACAAUCAGAAGUGCUGGCGCUGGAAGUAUAAAAUGAAUAGCAACAAGAUGGUUUCAUUAACCAAUCAGGUCAUGGCAUCAAACUGGCAUAUCAAGGCUUGUAUUGGCGAUUUGAGUGAUUUGAUUGGUUGGUCAGAGAACUCACAGCCUUUGAUCUACCGAACUUCACCCAGCAACUCCCGCGACUUGAAGAUGAACUUUUCUCUGCGUCCACCGAGAACAUUCUCAGCCUGAAGCGAGUUAAAACUUAUUCCAUAAAUACGAAAGGACAGGCUGGACAUUGGUCGUUAGCUUGGAAGGAGAAAGAAAAGUCAAACUAGUUGUUAGAACUGGAGCUCACGGAUAAUCUGUACAACAGCGUCACUGAACUCAUCUCAAGAGGAGGAGGGAUUUGGUGAACAACGAACCAGGAGAGUUGAUCCUGACAGUAGUCCCUGCAGGAGAACCUGAAGAACCACAGCUGUUAGAAGAUCUGAUGUUCUCCGUGUGGAGACUGAGACACGACAGUAACGCUCUGAGGUGUCAGCUACAGCCACAAGAGGUCACACCUGAGUCCUGCUCUACCUUAAGGUCACACACACACACACACACACACACAGCUUCCUGCUGCUGUUCAUAACCACAGGUGAUGUCGUCAGGUUAAGGCUUGGACUGAGAG